AGCGGUAAACUAAUAGACCAAUACUGUUUAGUGAAAACAAACUGGAUAAAUAAAUAGUCCAGAGAGGACUCUCAGAUAAGAAUUAUCAAAUAUUGGAAGAAGGCCGUGGAAUCUAAUUUUCUGGAGAAAUUUAAAUUAGAGAGGAUUGAGUCUUACUUAAGUUAGGUAAACCUCUUUCCACAGGCUGUGCCUAAAUUAAUACCUUCACAUAAUGUCUUCCAGCCCAGUGACUAGAGUACUUUUUAAAACUGGUUUAUUGUGCAUGAAUGUUCAUUGCAGCAUUAUUCAUAAUAGCUAAACAGUGGAAACAACCUAUAUGUCCAUCACCUAAUGAAAAGGUAAAUAAAAUGUGAUCAGUUUAUAAAACAGAAUGUUAUUUGCCCAUAAAAAUACAUACUGAUAUUUAUAUACAUGCUACAGCAUGGAUGAACCUUGAUAACAUUGUGCUAAGUGAGCAAAGCCAGACGCAAGGGACCACAUACUGUAUGAUUGCAUUUACUAUAUGAAAUGUCAAGAAUAGGCAAAUUCAUAGAGAUGGAUAGUAGAUUAAUUGUUGCCUGGUGAUAGGGAAGGGGCAGAAAUGAGGUGUGAUGGGUAUUGGGCAUGGGUAUUUUGAGGGAGGUGAUGAAGCAAAUGUUCUAGAAUUAGACAGUGGUUGUGGUUGCACAGCCCUGUGAAUAUGCUAAAAAACCACUGAAUUGUAUAUUUUUAAAAGGGGAACAUAUCUCCAUAAAGCUGUUAUGAAUAUAAGUUUAUGUUAGUUGUGUAAUAUCUUUGUCACUUGAAAUAUUUGUUCCUUAUGGUCUGUAUGUAUCUUGACUAGUUUGAGGCAUAUUUGGCUAUCAUCAUGUUCGGAUGCUUAUGCUUUAAUUAUGGAACCUCUGAGUUUUUCCUUUUUAUGCUGUUUCAGUGAAUGCCCCAGCCCUGCACACUUUGGAAACUAAAUCAAGUCUGCCAAUGGUGCAUGGUAAGUUUCAGUAAUAGUCUCAGCGUUUUAUGUGCAGUUGCCACCCUGAGUUGGAUAACUUAUUAACCAAAAGUGAUUAUGUGGAGGUAAUUAAUAAUAAAACAGGAAACAUUUUAGUGAUUGCAAAACAGCUAUUAAAACUGCAGUCUUCAUGUGUAAUAUUGUUGUAAACUGGACAUACCUCCCAAAGUCUUAAAGUAUAAAAGGUGUAUAUAGGUAUAAAAGGUUGCCAGACUCACAAGUAGAGAUUUUAACUUUGGGUAGUGUCUUGGUUAUUUAUGAUUUUUGUGGAAAGUAGUAGGUGUUGGGUAAGAAUGAGGGUGACCUGCUACCAGACCAGCCAACCAGCACAUGCCACAGGGCGUAUGUGGUUGUUUUUAUAACUUUCAAUGUGGCAGCAAGUCACCUUUUCUAAACAAACAGUUUGAAUGACUGGUUGGGAAAAUCUAGAAAAGACAUGUGAUGGAAACUAAAGGAAAUAGGUAGGAACCACUGGGUGAAAUCAUUACCAGGGUUCAGUUCUUGGACCAGAUCAAAAGGGUGAUAAUUGUUAUUAACAUGAUCCAAUAGAUGGGCUGAAUAUUUGUAGCCGUAUUUUACUUUUUAUACAGUUAAAGUGCUUACAGUUUUUAUAGUAUGUUCUUUAAUGUGAUGUUUUCCUGUGCUCUGUUGGAUAUUACAAAUGAAUUAAGAUGGGAGAAGGGCCAUCUUUUUCCAGUCUCAUAUACAGUUGCUCUGGAAUCCAAGGAUUAUUUCACUCUUCUUUCAUUUUUGAUCUUUUAAAAAGGUUACACUUAAAUCCAUGAUCUAACUGGUCAGUAUGGUGGCACUUUUUGUCUUCAUAGAUAUUGUGAUCUGUAUACCAUGAACUUUAGUAAUAAUCCUUUUUACUCAUCACUGACUCUUGAAGUGUUUAUUGCACCUUAUUUUUUUCCCGAAGAUCAUUUCAGGUGGGUCAGUUGUCUUGAGUAUGUGAUCACAAUACGUAAUGUGUAAAUUCUCCACAUAUUGAUCUUCUUAUUUACAAGUGUUCAGAGCAUGCAGUUUUUUCCUUUAGACCAGUAACAGAUAAAAGCACACUGGACAUAAAUAAAUUUGCUUUAAUAUUGAAUAUAUAAGAAAAGUAUCUAGCAAUCAUUCUGUAUUCAUAUUAUUUUAUGUCAGGUCUAAAAUCUCUCUGUUGUGUCCCUUUGUAAAGCAUUGCUGGCCAUUUCUCUUUUGUACUUCAACAGUGUAUUUUAGUUUCUUUUACUUCCCCACCCCUCCACUUUGUUAUUGUUAGCUUUCUGUAUGACAUCACACAAGGUUCCUAGUUUCUUUGUCAUAUAUUUUUGUUGCUAACUAAAGGACACCCUGGUAGGUACAUUAAAGCUGUCUGGGGUUAAUUCAAGGGUCCGGACAAAUUGAUCACUUCUAAAGCAUGUGUUCAUGGGGACCCUACCCUCACUAGCCCAGAGCUGCAUGAAUCAGUCAUGCCCCCUUCCUGGCAUCUGCUGGGAUUGAAAUGCUAGUUUUAAAUGCCAGCCAGACCUGGCACAGGGCCUACAGCCCUUGGAUGGGGAUCAAAGCUUAUUCGUGAGCAUCUCAGUGGGCAGGAGCUAGGAAGAGACUUGGCCAGGGCCCGCCAACGUCCCCCACCCCGUCAGGCCAGCUUCCCCAGGGCGGCAGGGGCAGGGCAGUUUAGUCAUGGAUUGCGUAAUGUUUAUUCGCCUGUUCACUCUCUGUCCUUUGUUCCAUCUCGAAGCUUGAUGAGGUUCUUUACCAUGAAAAAUCUCACAAUUUCUUACCAUUGUAGGUCGGGUCCCCUGGGAAACAGACUGAUGCGGAAGUUUACAGGUGGGAGGUGGGGGUGCCCUUGGACAGCACCUGUGAGAGAAGCAGUGUUGGGCGAAGGGAACGUUGAACCUAGACGCAGCCACAGUGGAGGCCUCAGCCAGCCCUGCUUCAGAGCUGCAGAGCUGGGAUGAGUGCUCCGGCUUGUCCUCCACUGAGGCAGGGGUGGGCCAUUGCCCCUUGCACUGAUUUGUCAUCUGAUGGGGGUUGCCCCAAAGAAAGGGUGAGCUAAAGCAGCCUGGAAGGGACUCCACUGUGAGCUGCUAGGAGCCAACAUUGCCAGCACGUCUGUCCUGAGAGGAUCUAGGUAAAAUGGGAACCCUGAUGGCUCCCUGCUUUCAACUCUGCUACACAAGCUAAACGGUACAGGCAGUAGGUUCUGAUUCUAAGGCAGUCGAUAGGAUGAAACACGGGUUCGGGAGAAGAUAAACAAUCAUGCUUGAUUCCCAUCCCCGGUAUGCAUUUUUUUUCUGGACAAACCUCAAAUAAAUUUUUGUAGUAUUUUCACCACUGGAGAUCACUUUGCUCUAUGCUUAUGGAGUAGUGACUAAAUGGUGGUAUUAGGAUGCCCAGAAAAUAAAGUAUACUUUGUUGCUGUUAAACUGACCCAUACACCAAUUGCUUAGGUUGCCUGGGCUGAUAAUGUGGCCCACUUUUAGAGCGAUGAGUGCAGUGAGGAUGCAAAAUAACCGCUUUUCCCAAAGUCUAUGGGCACCUGCUAGGUUCUACCUACAUGUAAAGCCCUCCUUUAAUUUGGUCUAUAAAUUGUGAGGGGCUUAUGUAUGCAUGACUUUAAUUGUAUAUAGCUACAAUGAGGACCACAAAAACUGGAAACUCUUUUUUUUUUUUUUUUUUUUUUUUUUUUGAGACUGGGCAUUUCUCUGUCGCCCAGGCUGGAAUGUGGUGAUAUGAUCAUAGCUCACUGCAGCCUCAACUUUCUGGGCUCAAGUGAUCCUCCCACGUAGUUGAGACUGCAGGGGUGCACCACCAUACCUGACUAAUUUUUUGAUUUAUUAUAUAGACGGCAUUUCAUUAUGUUGCCCAGGCUGGUUUCAAACACCUGGACUCAAAUGAUCCUCCCACCUCAGCCUUCCAAAGUGCUAAGACCACAGGUGUGAGCCACAGCUCCCACUUAGAAACAUUUUUAUUAGACUUUACAGUUAUUAUUAUGUUUUGUUCUCAAAGCAAGUAUUCUACAUCUUGAAAUACUGAAACUUAACACAAGCAAUAGUUUACUGUCCAAUACAUGACAGGUGGUAUGCUCUAGACUUCUGGUGUAUUGUGUCUCUUGAUGGAAAGAAAGAUGGCUUCCCCCUCUGGACACCACUGGCCCAAAUAGUGUUGCAGAAGUGGGAUGGGGACUGUUGAAAGGAAGUCUCAGUUCAGUGGGAUUCCACCCUCUAAAGGAGAAUGGGCCUGAUCCCUGUCAGGUGACCAUGCUUAUGUGCAGUCACAAGGGGAAAUGUUUGGAUAUGCCAACAGGAUCUCCUGGACAUACAUCCUGGAAAAGCUCAGGAGAGUCUUCAGUGAACAUGUCUUUGACAGGAGUUAACAUGCCACAUGUAGUUAUCUGUUUCUCCAGCGGUGUUCCGCCACUCUUGCCUUCCUUCCUUCACUGACCACUGGGUAAUGACAACUGUGGACCACUCCUGCAUGACAGAGAUAUAGAAAUGAAUCAGAAACGAAGCCUGUCCCCACAGAACUUACAGCUUAUAAAGGAGACCACAUGCUUAUAAUUAUGGUGCAAGGUGAGAGCCACUGAGAAAUGAAAUGGGUAUCCAGGCAGGGGAGAGAUUUUCUCCAUUUGGGAGACUCUGGGAAGACUUCCUGGUGUAGCUGACAUUUGGCCAUUUGAGCCGAGUAGGAGGUGAAUAUGUCGGGAUGGCAUCCUAGGCAAAGCAAACAGUAAGAAGGAAAAGGUGGCAGGAAAGCACUAGAUGUGAAUUAGCAGUUUAGAGUAUUACUUGGCCAUGCAUAGAGAAGAGAAGAUGUGAGGGAAGUGAGGUUGGUUGAGGGCGUUCAUGGCAGCUGUUGAGUGCCAGGCUGCAGCUGUCCAGGGUCGUUCUUGGGGCAGUUUGUAGCCGCUGAGUGUUCCUGAGGCUGGGUGUGCAGAAUUGGAGAGCUGGGCUAUGGGAGGCUUGGCCUGACCAGAGCGUCUCCAAAGCAUCUGAGAUGGGGAGACCAGUUGUUGGUGUGGGUGAUCCUGCACUUGAGAUUCCUCCCCGGGAGUCUGCUUUGUGGUGACGAGACUGGAGAAAGAGUGGACAGACCAGCGGUUUGGUGGAGUUGGCAGAAAGGCUGACUGGGGACCAGGGCCAGGACCAAGGAAAGUCAGAGCACAGUGAACUCUGAUAAUGGGUGGACAGCGGUGGCAUUUGGAGAAGUCAGAAAGACAAGCCCAGUGAGCGCCAGUAGGCAGGCAUCAUCACUUUGUGGACAAGUCCCCAGACUUUGGAAGCAGGCAGUCCAGAUUCACAGCCCACCCCUAAGCCAUGGGCUUAGGGGCUUUGCCUGCCAAGUGCAGAGAACAGCUGUGGCUACCGCAGUGGCCUUUGUGAUGGUCCAGCAAGGUACAAGCCACUGAGUAAGCUCUGGCCAGUGUUGGCUUCUAAGGUAGGCACAAAGAGUGUA
rnacentral:lncRNA from 1 species